rnacentral:rRNA from 1 species
ACUCCUACGGGAGGCAGCAGUGGGGAAUAUUGCACAAUGGGCGCAAGCCUGAUGCAGCCAUGCCGCGUGUAUGAAGAAGGCCUUCGGGUUGUAAAGUACUUUCUAGUCGUGAGGAAGGCGGCGUCGUUAAUAGCGGCGUUGUUUGUACGUUAGCGACAGAAGAAGCACCGGCUAACUCCGUGCCAGCAGCCGCGGUAAUACGGAGGGUGCGAGCGUUAAUCGGAAUUACUGGGCGUAAAGCGCAUGCAGGUGGUUUGUUAAGUCAGAUGUGAAAGCCCGGGGCGUCAACCUCGGAAUAGCAUUUGAAACUGGCAGACUAGAGUACUGUAGAGGGGGUUAGGAAUUUCAGGUGUAGCGGUGAAAUGCGUAGAGAUCUGAAGGAAUACCGGUGGCGAAGGCGGCCCCUGGACAGAUACUGACACUCAGAUGCGAAAGCGUGGGAGCAAACAGGAUUAGAUACCCCUGGUAGCGACUGA